GACGAACGCUGGCGGCGUGCUUAACACAUGCAAGUCGAACGAAGUGGCGGACUUGUGAGUAACGCGUAAACAACCUGCUCAUCAGCCGGGGACAACAGUUGGAAACGACUGCUAAUACCGCAUUCUGAUGGAGGGGCUUCCGUCUGAUUAGCUAGUUGGGGGGGUAACGGCCGACCAGGGCGACGAUCCGUAACUGGCCUGAGAGGAUGAUCAGCCACACUGGAACUGAGACAAGGCCCAGACUCCUACGGGAGGCAGCAGUGGGGAAUAUUGGACAAUGGACGAAAGCCUGAUCCAGCAAUGCCGCGUGUGUGAAGAAGGUCUUCGGAUUGUAAAGCACUUUAAGUUGGGAAGCGUUACCAAAAGAAAAAGCCCCGGCUAACUUCGUGCCAGCAGCCGCGGUAAUUC
rnacentral:rRNA from 1 species